rnacentral:lncRNA from 1 species
GGCAGAGGGAGGCCUAAGAGGUAUUGGGGAGAGGUGAUUAGGCAUGACAUGGCUAGAAUGCGGGUUUCUAAGGACAUGGCCCUUGAUAGGAAAGUCUGGAGGUCUAGUAUCAGGGUUGUAGGAAAGGGGCCCCUAGAGUUUUUCGUACUCCUCACCCGGGGUGGGGGGAGGCUUGGGACAUGGCCCUUGAUAGGAAAGUCUGGAGGUCUAGUAUCAGGGUUGUAGGAUAGGGGCCCCUAGAGUUUUUCGUACUACUCAUCCGGGGGUUGGGUGAGGCUUGGCAGGGCUAUCCAUAGAUGAUUUGUGUUUUGGAUUGUGUCUC